UGGUGAGGGCUUCCACGAGGAAAGCUGACCCUGUGCAACACCAGCAGUCCAGCAGUCCCUCUGUCAGGGGAGGGUUAAAACUAGUGGGUGCCAGGCUGAGACCAGGGUCUCAGUGUCCUGCAGGGACUUCUAGGCAAGGAGUCCCCAUCAGCGUCAGGCUUUGUGCCAGGGCUGAGGUCCCAGAGGAACCAGACUUACCCCAACUCAAGCACACAAAAUGAGGGUGUCGUGUGAGGUGACAGCCAUAUGCAGUGUGAUGCUUGCAGGACAGAGACUGGGACAGGGAAAGCCUGAGGGGUCUCCACAGAGGAUGAGUGACAGGUGCAGGGGACACCUGGCAGGGGACUCCCAGGCAUAGAGCCUCGAGAAGCUCCAGGCGGCCCACAGGGCUGGACCAAGUGAGUCCUGGGGCCAAGGUGGUCUGAGAGCAGGCUAGACAGGUGCCAGGCCCAGACCCAGAGAACUCAUCCCUGGAGGACAGACUCAUCUGGGGAGUCCUGGAGGCUGUUUGCAGGGAAUCGAUGAGACCAGAGUUGGAUGGGUGGGCAGGGGUGUGAAUCCAGAACUAGAGACACCCCAUGGAGGGUGUUGUGGUGACCCAGGCAGUUUGACUGAUAUGAGGACAGAUUCAGGAGAAGGGGGAACAGGAGAGGGAUGAGCAAGGACAGCCCUGGGCUUUUUUGAUGAACAGUUAACACUGGGAUCAUGUCAGCACAUCCUGUAUUUUAAACAAAAUGCCCAAGGGAAGUGGUGGUCUGCAAAGUGUCCCCAGAAGGCAGCAAGGGCUUGGCUUCGUCUCCCCCAAGGCCAUCCACUCAUCGUCUUGCUCAUAAAGGCUUACUAGGGGCCAGGCUGGGGGACACAGGGAGGGUGGGCCAAACGCAGGGGGACUGUGCAGUCAGGAGGACAGAUCAUGGCCCAUUUUUGGAGCAAUAAAGGGGGAGGGGGUCCCCCCUCUGCAGUGGGGGGAUGCCAGUACUGGUCUCACAGAUCAAGCAGCACUGGCUGGUGCUGGGCGCCCCUCAAAGGCAGCAGUGCCAGUGGAGAGGAGACCAAGGGCUGUGGCGGGGAGCUCCUGGGGGACACGGAGGGAGAGGCUGACAGACCACAGGGUCCUUGUGGCCCGCCUUUAUCCUCAGAUCCAGGAGGAGUCUCUGGAGGGAUUUGGGUAGGAGACUGAUCAUCAGAUUUGUGUGCUUCUGAUGAGAGGCUGGUGUAGAGCAGAUUAGAGGAGGGAGGCCCAGGGCGGAGAGUGGGGGUAGCCAGGUCCAGGGGAGGUGAGGAACCUGGAGGAGGCACAGGUUUAAGCCACCCAGGGGCCCAGAUUGCUGUGAAAUGGGAGGGUGAAGCUGAAUUGGGGGCACCAGAGGUUGAUGGGGAGUAGCGGGCAUUCUCGGGGGCUGCCCGAGGGAGACUGGAUUUCAGAAACAUGUAUGAAAAAUCAUAAAAAUGUACAUGCCUUUUAAUCAAGUCAUUCCACUUCGAGAAAUUUGUUUUGGGGGGAUAAAACUUCAGCUAAAAAUUCUUAAUGUGUGGGAGGCUGAGGUAGGAGAAUCGCUUGAACCUGGGAGGCGGAGGUUGCAGUGAGCCAACAUUGUGCCACUGCACUCCAGCCUGGGCGACAGAGAGAGACUGUCUCAAAAAAAAAAAAAAAA
rnacentral:lncRNA from 10 species